UUCGAGAAGAAGAAACCAGCCAGGAAGCCCCGCAGAAGCGCGUAGGUGAGGGGGCCGUGCUGCCGCUGCGGUGACUCGGGGAGAUCCGACUGCCGAGAGCAAGGAGGAUUCGGGGAGAAGUGGUGCAGCUGCAGAGUCCCGGGAUGCUUUGACUCCUUUGCACCGCCUUUUCCUGAGGGGAGASCGGAGWGGCAGGCGGAGGGAUGCCCCCGGCUCGGCUCUCGCUYGGAUGUGUCCCUGCUGCCAGGGUGGCCCGUGUGGCCACUGCUGCUGUGGAUCUGGGCCUUGAGGUGACCUGUGUGGAGUCUGAAGCCUAGUGCAGGGCUGAGCUCRCCCUCCAGUCUGUCCCUCGCUGAAGCUGUUUGCACCAUCACCUUCCCUCCCCCAGCUGCCCAUCCUCAGGAAACGUUUAGAAAUUAAAUAUGUUUUUCAAACCUCUGCCUGGCUUGUCCCCAACUUUGUCAGAAAUUGGCCAACAGCCUCC
rnacentral:lncRNA from 1 species